rnacentral:rRNA from 1 species
GGCCAGACUCCUACGGGAGGCAGCAGUGGGGGAUAUUGCACAAUGGGGGGAACCCUGAUGCAGCGACGCCGCGUGGGUGAAGAAGCGCCUCGGCGCGUAAAGCCCUGUCAGCAGGGAAGAAAAUGACGGUACCUGAAGAAGAAGCCCCGGCUAACUACGUGCCAGCAGCCGCGGUAAUACGUAGGGGGCAAGCGUUAUCCGGAUUUACUGGGUGUAAAGGGGGCGCAGACGGCGAUGCAAGCCAGGAGUGAAAGCCCGGGGCCCAACCCCGGGACUGCUCUUGGAACUGCGUGGCUGGAGUGCAGGAGGGGCAGGCGGAAUUCCUGGUGUAGCGGUGAAAUGCGUAGAUAUCAGGAGGAACACCGGUGGCGAAGGCGGAUGACUGGACGGCAACUGACGGUGAGGCGCGAAAGCGUGGGGAGCAAACAGGAUUAGAUACCCCCGUAAUA